UACGUAGGGUGCAAGCGUUAAUCGGAAUUACUGGGCGUAAAGCGUGCGCAGGCGGUUUUGUAAGUCUGUCGUGAAAGCCCCGGGCUCAACCUGGGAAUUGCGAUGGAGACUGCAAGGCUUGAAUCUGGCAGAGGGGGGUAGAAUUCCACGUGUAGCAGUGAAAUGGCGUAGAGAUGUGGAGGAACACCGAUGGCGAAGGCAGCCCCCUGGGUCAAGAUUGACGCUCGAUGCACGAAAGCGUGGGGAGCAAAACAG
rnacentral:rRNA from 1 species